CAUGGAGACCUGCAGACACCUUGCCAACGGCGGUUCUUUCCUUCCAGCCUGUGAGCUCCAAAGAACAGGCUUGGUGGCAACUGCAUUUAUCUCUGGGCCAUCCUGCCCCUCUCCACUUUAUCUUUAGAGGAGGACACUGCAAGCUGCCUCUUCUCGGGAUCCAGACUUCGGCUACACUGUGUGUCACUCCAUUCAGGGAUCUCUGUCUCAGGCAACUCCACUCCUAGCGCUGACCUCCAUUUCAACAGCUACGGACUCAGUGGAAGCCUGUUACUACUACUCUGUGUAGCCUGUGCGUGACGGAAGGAGCGCCACGUGGAUGACACGGAAGUCUGCUGCUGCCGCAGGAGCUAUGCCGAACCUGUAGUACCGGAGCUACCACGGAGUGCCUCACCAGGCAGAAGCAGAACCAGAGCUGGCCCGAGCCAGUGCCGAGGCUGUUCCUGACCGGUCUAUAUGCUAGGCUUCUGGACCUGUGCUGGGAAAGACGGGUCUGUCAGAGGAGCCCUCCAGGCUUCUCACUGUCCUUUUUAGUAGGAGGCUUUCUAUGGUGUAACCUUGAUCUUUCCAGCAAAAGGCCACUUCUAGACUAUUCCCUCCUUUCCCCUCCCGCCCUAAUCUAUCUGUUCUGUUUGUCUUCUCCAGCUGAGCGUGAUAGUUAAUAUAUCCACUGUCGGUGUCAACACUCUUA